UGAAUAUUCUAUAUAUUUCUGGAAUAUCCCUCAAAAAUUUAUUAUGGAAUUGCAGAAUCAGAUUGGCUUGGGUUGGGAGGGACAUCAAGGAUCAUCAAGCUCCAAUCCCCUUGCCUGUGGCAGGGCUGCCAACUUCCAUAUAUAAUGCUAGACCAGGCUGCCCCUGUGUUACACAAAACCCUAAUGAAGUCAUAGUAGAGGGCCCAGUGAGCACAGAGAGUGCUCAGCUGGGGACAUGGACUACCUGGUGACAUCACAGGCACUGUGCUUAGGGCCCUGGCUGCCACCAGUGAGUGCUGUGCAGGAGUGUGGACAUGCUGUGUCAGCCCUUGUCCCAGCUGGUAGUGAUAGUGGUGGUGGCUGAUGGGCGCUGCACACUAUUACUGACAGUGUUGCUCAGCCAUUGGGUUGGUGUGUUAGUUGGAAGGGAGGACUGCAGCUGUGUCGGGGUAAACCAGAACUGUAGGUUUGUCAAACAUGUGAAUCUUAACCAGUGCAUCCAUCGCAGCUGCAGCAAGAGGAGAUGAUGAAGGGAGUCUUUUUCAUGUCAGGAACACAAAAUGUGAGCUUCAAGGGUUCCUGUUCAAGAGGACAUUUUGUGGAUCCAAGCAGUCCACGAGUGCAGCUGUCUUGUUUCCAAGAGCAGGGAAUUCCUUUGGAGACAACCCAAGCUUGCUCUAAGAAGUUCCCCAUGUCUCAGCAAGGAGACGACUGCUACUUCUAUUUCUACUCUAUCUGUUUUAAGAAGCAGUGCAGUGAGAUUCCCUGCUAUUGGGAGAAUCAGCCAGGAGGCUGUCAGAAAGCCCACUGCGCUUUUCUUCACUUGAAGGAGCACGGUGGGAACAGACUGACCAUACCACCAAGCAAAAAAGCUGACGCAAGUGGCCUUCCUCUGAAGAGCGGCCUUACAGAAAGUCUGGGGAACCAGACAAAGGUUGAGAAGGCAUCAGGGAGAGUUGACAUCCCAACUUCCUCCCAUGGCCUGUCUGGACGAAAAUGCAAGCCAUCUGAGGAGAAGAAGGGAACAGCAGAGGAAUUGUCUCGCAAGAAAAGAAUGGGUACAAGGUGUCCAAGAGGCCUAUUGAUUGGAAAACCACCUUCCCCACAAAGCAAAGAUGGAAACAAAAAGCAGCAGAGAUGCAUCCAUCUGCUGCUGCUGAGAAAACGGAUGAACCCCCAGCUUUAAAACUACCUAUGGCGAUUCUUGCUUCAGUCCCACCUGAAUAGACCUUGGUCAGCAUUGAAGUCAUUAAACUUCCAAGCAGGUGAUGACCAUAACUUGUUCUUCAUCAGUGCAAUUUUUCCAUUAAACAUAAGUUCUUUCAUGUCUGGGGAAAAAUUGGAUGUUUGGGAUGUGUCAUGGCAUAAUCAACAAAGGAAGAGGUCAUCUGAAGUAAUUUAAAUAUUCACAGUCAAAGUAACGAGGGCGGCAAUGUGUUUCUGCUACAAAACCUGGCCCCCGUUUUCUAGACUCAAACUGCUCUAUCUGUACAGAUAAAUUUGUACUAUGAAAAAUGUACUUGCUGGUAUCUUGCACUCUAAAAGCAUCCUCAGGUUAACUGAAUCGCCAUCUCUAUGUGAGUGUGAGGUGCAGGAGGGGUUAACUACAGAUCUCAGAGCUGGUUUGCUGAAAGUGUAUCUCCAGUUAGAAAUGUACUGAUUGUUCUCUUCCUUGCUCUCCCAGGUCUGGUACUGCUUCCGAGAAGCCAGGAAGACUCUAUGGCACAGUCAGAGGUCUCAAACUCAACACCCCAUUUCUCAUAAGAAGCAGAUAAGACCCAGCAGCUGAGCUGCAUAGCUGAAGAUGAUGACAUCAAGAAGUUAAUGAUGGAAAUCACAGGAGAAGAACUGGAAGGAGAAAUAAUGUGGAGUUGAGAAGGAUAUGGCCGCAAGUUGUAUUAGAGGAGGUUUAGGUUAGACAUGAGGAAAAACUUUUUCUCUCAGAGAGUGGUCAGGCACUGGAAUGGCCUGGCAAGGGAGGUGGUGGAGUCACUGUCCCUGGCAGUGUUCAAGAGGCAUCUGGAUGAAGAGCUGCGAGGUAUGGCUUAGUAGCUUGUGGUAGCAGUGGUAAUGUGAAGAUGGUUGGACUAGAUGAUCUUAUAGGUCGUUUCCAACCCUGUGAUUCUAUGAUUCUAUGAGAUCCUUCUGGAACUGUCUGAGGUCACUGACAGUGUAACUCGAUAGUCUAAUUGUAUAU
ensembl:lncRNA